GUGCUCUCUCUGGAAACACAUACACUAACACUGGAACGAAACAGAAGAUUAGCAUUGCCCGGGCACAAGGAUGACACACAAAUUCUUCAAGUGGUCCAUACUUUU
ensembl:snRNA U6 U6 spliceosomal RNA